rnacentral:rRNA from 1 species
ACUCCUACGGGAGGCAGCAGUGGGGAAUAUUGCACAAUGGGCGCAAGCCUGAUGCAGCGACGCCGCGUGAGGGAUGACGGCCUUCGGGUUGUAAACCUCUUUCGCCAGGGACGAAGCGCGAGUGACGGUACCUGGAGAAGAAGCACCGGCCAACUACGUGCCAGCAGCCGCGGUAAUACGUAGGGUGCGAGCGUUGUCCGGAAUUACUGGGCGUAAAGAGCUCGUAGGUGGUUUGUCGCGUCGUCCGUGAAAACUUGGGGCUUAACCCCCGAGCGUGCGGGCGAUACGGGCAGACUUGAGUACUGCAGGGGAGACUGGAAUUCCUGGUGUAGCGGUGAAAUGCGCAGAUAUCAGGAGGAACACCGGUGGCGAAGGCGGGUCUCUGGGCAGUAACUGACGCUGAGGAGCGAAAGCGUGGGUAGCGAACAGGAUUAGAUACCCUGGUAGGCGUAGU